rnacentral:rRNA from 1 species
GACGAACGCUGGCGGCGUGCUUAACACAUGCAAGUCGAACGCUGAAGACCUGGCUUUUGUUGGGUUGGAUGAGUGGCGAACGGGUGAGUAACACGUGAGUAACCUGCCCUCUUCUUUGGGAUAACGCCCGGAAACGGGUGCUAAUACUGGAUAUUCACUGGCCUUCGCAUGGGGGUUGGUGGAAAGGUUUGUUCUGGUGGGGGAUGGGCUCGCGGCCUAUCAGCUUGUUGGUGGGGUGAUGGCCUACCAAGGCUUUGACGGGCAGCCGGCCUGAGAGGGUGACCGGUCACAUUGGGACUGAGAUACGGCCCAGACUCCUACGGGAGGCAGCAGUGGGGAAUAUUGCACAAUGGGCGAAAGCCUGAUGCAGCGACGCCGCGUGAGGGAUGGAGGCCUUCGGGUUGUAAACCUCUUUCGCUCAUGGUCAAGCCGCAACUGUGGGUUGUGGUGAGGGUAGUGGGUAAAGAAGCGCCGGCUAACUACGUG